AUCUGCUUCUGAUCAUGAUCCAUUGCAUUAGGUAUUAAUAUUGCAUAUUUAAAUAGUUUUAUUCAGAAAGCACUUCUACAUUAGCUUUUAUUAUUAAGGGGGCAAUUGCUUAUAUACCCCUGAAAAGUUGCCGGCUUUCUAAUUUAUCCAUCUUAGAAGGCUAAUAUUGAAAAUACCUUUUUUAUAUUCCAACCUAUUUUAAAUAUACCUCUAGAGUUAAAAUCUGUUAAUAAACUCUGUUAUAUGUAUAAAAUUACUAUUUUGCUCCUUCAAAUAUACCCUUCCACUAUCACCGACUUUUCUUAUUUGCCCUUAAGCCAGGGGUACAAAACGUAUUUUGACUUUUAGUCUUUUCAAAUAUACCCCUCUACCGUCACCAACAUUUCUUAUAUUUAUCCUUAAGUUAAGGGCAAAUUUGGCAUUUUAAUUUUUUUUAACUAUGGUAUAUAUUUAACUCACGUUUAACCCAAGUUAACUUAACAGAGAAAAACUGCGAGGGUAUUUUGCAAUAACGGUGGAACAUAUGAGGGGUAUUUUAGAAAGAAAAAAAAAAGUAGGGAUAAAUCGAAUAUUUUCAAAUGUCUGAGGGGUAUAUAGGCAAUUAUCCCUAUUAUUAACUAUGAAAAUCUUUAAUCUCUUUUUUCACAUUUCUAUCCCAAUAAUUACAGGUUACAUCCUGUGCUUGCUUUCCUCUGUUUAAAUAGGAAAAAAAAUAAGGAAAAACUUCAAAUAUCCCCCUUGUGGUUUUAUUUUUUUCUUACUUUAGUACCCUGUGGUUAAAGUGUAUCAAAUUAAUAACCUGUGGUUUUGCACUUUUUCACUUUAGUACCCUGUGGUUUAAAGUGUAUCAAGUUAGUACCCUGUGGUUUCGCACUUUCUCACUUUAGUACCCUGUGGUUUUUAAAUACCCUGUGGUUUAAAAACCAUAGGGUACUAACUUGAUAUAACAAUAAAACCACAGGAUACUAACUUGAUACAAAAAUAAAAUCACAGAGUACUAACUUGAUACGGUUUAAACCACAGGGUACUAAAGUGAGAAAGUGCGAAACCACAUGAUACUAACUUGAAACACUUUAAAAUACAGGGUAUUAAAAUGAAAAAGUAUGAAACCACAGGAAGAAUUUUUGAAAUUUUUCCAAAAAAUAAUAUAGAAAGCCUCGUUGUGGAGAGACAGUUUAAUCAACCCCUCACCAUUACUUUAAAAUUCAU
rnacentral:lncRNA from 1 species